GACGAACGCUGGCGGCGUGCUUAACACAUGCAAGUCGAACGGGAGUAUCGAAGAAGCUUGCUUUUAAGAUACUUUAGUGGCGGACGGGUGAGUAACGCGUGAGGAGCUGUACUAUGCAGGGGGACAACAGUUGGAAACGACUGCUAAUACCCCAUAAGCCGAGAGGUAAAAGGAUUUAUCCGGCAAAGGAGGUACUCGCGUCCUAUCAGCUAGUAGGUUGGGUAACGGCCGACCUAGGCGAAGACGGGUAGCCGGCCUGGGAGGGCGAACGGCCACACUGGAACUGAGAUACGGUCCAGACUCCUACGGGAGGCAGCAGUGGGGAAUAUUGGACAAUGGGCCACAAGCCUGAUCCAGCAAUUCGGUGUGCACGAUGAAGGUCUUCGGAUUGUAAAGUGCUUUCAGUAGGGAAGAAAAAAAUGACGGUACCUACAGAAGAAGCGACGGCUAAAUAUGUGCCAGCAGCCGCAGUAA
rnacentral:rRNA from 1 species